AUGUCCUUGGCUCCUGCAGAUGUGCAAGAACCAGGCUGGCUGUGUGCUCCAGGUGGAGGAACAAAGGAGCCCUUCAUCUGCUCCUGCAGAGCAGGCUGGUGGCCAGCCCGUGUGUGGUGCUUGGUUCCCUCUGCUGCAGCAGGGAGGUGGGAGAUGUACGCUACCCACCCCUCUCACCCUGAAAGCAAGCCAGCCUGGGAGAAAGCAGCAGCAACUCAGCCCUCUCCAGCCCUGCAGGCAAGUUGUAAGGCAGAAAGAACAGAGAGGGAAGCCGGCUUCCCACCCAGCCGCCCGCGUGGAGCGGAUGCUGUGAGCCAUUUCUGCACAAGCUUCCUGUUUCCUCUCCCCUCUCCUCACGCUGGUGCUCAUCCUUGCAGCUCCUUGCUGCAGGGGGGAGGCUGUGGCACGGCUGACUCAUGCUGCUGGCGUGAUGAGAGCCCCACGCGUGGGCUCCCUGUGGCACCUCUUCGCUCUCCGGCUUUGCUCUGGUAGAAGCUAAAACUCCAUUUCUAGCUCAUAAAACCUGCGCUUCUGCAGCUCUCAGGGCCUCCUGGAAGCUCGUCGGUGCGAAGAUGCACGAGUGCUGGUGGCUGGGCUCAGGCAGGGGCUGGAUCAGCCACGAGCAAACACUCACACACACACACACACACACACUGGAGUGAGGGUUGUUUCAUCAAAUGGCCAAAAAGCUGCUGGUGGCCAGAGUGGCCACUGGGAGCAGACAAUGUAGAAAAAUAAGCGGACAAUGGAAGUGGGGUGGGGAGCUGGAACAGCAGUUCCUCCAAUACAGAGCCUGGGAAAUGUGGAAAUCUCAAAGGGAAGCGAAAAGAUGUGAAGAGAAACUUCAGAGGGAUUUCUAGCAGUGAGGAGGAGGGACUGAGUUUUAGAAAAGAAAAGAGAAAAAAGCCCUUGCAACGCGAUUGGAAUUGGAGAAGUAGAGCGCGUGGUGUUAUCUGGAGAAGGGCUGACGCCGUGCCCACGUGAAGGUGAACGUGCACCAAUCUGUUCCCACUCCUGCAGCAGCCAAGGGUCGAGUCAGCAGCCUUUGGGAGGCGUGAGCGGCUCGGGGCAGGCAGGUGGCCUGGUUUCAGCUGGAAUAGAGUUAAUUUUCCUCCUAAAAAUGGGUUAAACCACAACAGCAGGUUCCCUUGGCUCCUGCCCUGGGGCUGUGGAGGAGAGGAGCUCUGUGGGUCCCACAUGCUGAAUCCGGAGCUGCCGGGCAGCGCAGGCGAUGAGCUGCUCUCCUGUCUUUUUGGAGAACGGUCGAUGAAGGUUUCGUGGGAGGUUAGGUAAUGAUUGACCUCGCAGGAAAGGGGCCUUAUUAAAACACGGGGGCAGCUUAGCUUGCAGACAGGUCAGUCUGUGUUGCAGGGGAUGGUAUUGCUGCUGUCAGGAAUUUAUACUUUCCUCCGGUCAGAAAGUCUUCGGCUCUGCCUUGUUGUGCCCCGGCUACAGACGUAGACCUGGAUCUUGGCUGUUUUCCUGCGGGGCA
rnacentral:lncRNA from 1 species